ACAAGGGCAGCAAGAAAAGAAAGAAAAGAAAGAAAGAAAGGAAAGAAAGAAAGAAAGAAAGAAAAUAGGAAAGAAAAGAAAGAGAAGAAAGAAAAGAAAGAAAAGAAAGAGAGAUGGAAUGAAAUAAAAGUUAAAUUGCUCGAUAGUUUGAUUUUGACCCCGACAAUGCACUUUUGCAGGAUAAAGGUCCUACCGUGAAAUUGACCGUGUACAAACCUAAUUGAGGGUAAAAGAAACUCGUUGGCGAAGUCGAUUCGGCAAUCCGUCGAGCCUACGCAAAGAUAGCGCCAAAAGGACAAUUUCGGCUACGAUUAUCGCGAGCGCGGAUCGCGGUUCUCGGGGAAGUGGGGGAAGUGGAUUUCUCGUGUUCAGGUAUCAGAUAAAGGUAAACUGGUUCUAAUAUCUAAUUGUAGACAAGUUAGUUGCAUUAAAGAUGAUAAGAGUAAUUGCUGCCAGGAUCUGAUAUUGGACUAUUUGAAGUAGUAAGUUGAAAUUCAGUAUGAGAAAAAUAUAAUUGGAUAGCAGAUUGAGCUACCUUCAAUUAUGUUAUGACUAGUAGUUAGACUAGUUACUCUGAUAAAUUUCUAAGCAUAGAACUAAUUGUUCUAUACUUAUAAUGGCUGCACUAAAAGGAAACAAAAUGCUGAAAUUUCAGCCUAAGUAGAAUUUCAGCAUUGGGACUUUGGAGUGAAAUGCUAACUUGGAAAAUAUAAGAAUAUGACACCAAUGUAAUCUCUUUUAUUCUUGUGUAAAUGAAAGUUAUACAUGCUCGAAAGUCUAAAUUGACUUUCCGACAGGUCGGCGACGCACUAAUUACGGUAGAGACCGUUCUAGUUCUAUUUGCACUGAGUCGCGAGAGCUAGUUGUCGACGCAUUCCGAGACGUGAGAUCCUAGUUGUGGACACCACUACAGGUGGGUGGUGCUAUCCGAAGUCUUUGAAUCACCUUUUAUGUCUAUGCUAUUCAUUGAGCAUAUUUACUUCUGUAUUCAUGCAUUAUAGGGUAUGGGCAUUGGCAUUAUGCAAGUGAUAUUGAACGUGUGAAUUCUUAUUGAUAGUAAGAACAUAUGAACAUAGAAUGUGGACAUAGAACCCUAUGAAUGCAUGGACUAUAACAAUAGUGAACUUGGUGACAUAUGACUAGAGAUUUGGUUAGCAUCGACAUUGGAAUUAUAAAACUAGCAUAAAGAGCUAGUUAGAGUAAAGUGUGACAGUGUUUGUCAGUUGAAUCCUCUAAAGGGGGAUCAGAUCAUACUCACAUUUGUUUGGUUCAAGUGAGGUCGCUCCUCCUUGAACGAUGAGCUCCGGAGUAGUCAUCUUUACUGGACCAGGAGGUGCGUCUCCCCCAGUUGACGGUCCCGUCGGGUGCAGGUUGCGUCUCCCCGAUAUUUGGGAUAGCGUCAGUGAGUUAUUGUUAACCAGAGGGUUAACCAAAAGAUUGGGUAAAGUUAAUGAAAAGCAUGCAUGCAUAUUUACAGUUUUCAUAUACUACUUCCUUCAGCUUUGUACAGGCAUUGUAGUAGUUACAUAUUAUAGUUGGUUACUAUCUGCUUUACUUUUCUUGCCUACAUAUGCCUGAGUAGACCUAGUGGGUGAGUCGGCGAGGUCGGCAGCCGAACCCACUGGGAACUUUCUUGUAGUUCUCACACCACUAACCAUACAGGUUCCAGUGCGAGCGUUGUGGCCGAGGAUCGAGGCAAGAGCCCAGCAUCCUAGCUAGCUGACACCAGAGUUAUAGUUGUUUAACAUUUUGAGUUCAUGUAUCAUCUAUUUUGAUGUACUGAGACAUGUAAAUGAAUGUAUAUAAAGCAUGUAAUAACUAAAUGUUUUAGUUAAGUAAAGUUUUAAAUUACAGUGGAUUUCAUGUUUAGUUAGACUUACUAUCACUUGUGUUGUUGCUUGUCUUCGUGCAAGCCAUGUAUAUUGAAAUGUAUCCUGGGAAUUGUUUAUUUCUUUAUACAUGUAUUCGUUGUUGUUGAGCCUUGGGCGAACAGAGGAGGUGCUGUUUGUUCGGCGUCUGUGUACGGGCCCGGAUUGAGCAAAUUGGCGAUAGCGGGACGUGACAACCCUCACCCGUAGGGAGAGGCAUGAAGGUUACCGGAGUGGCAAAGGAAAUGUCCAAGAGCGAUACGUUGCAUGUCGGCGAAUCGUCGAGGACGGUAAAGAAGAAUCGGUUUCGAGGACGCGGAUCUUUUGCCGGGAGAAUU
rnacentral:lncRNA from 1 species